UACGAAGGGGGCUAGCGUUGUUCGGAAUCACUGGGCGUAAAGGGCGCGUAGGCGGGUCUUUAAGUCAGGGGUGAAAUCCUGGAGCUCAACUCCAGAACUGCCUUUGAUACUGAAGAUCUUGAGUUCGGGAGAGGUGAGUGGAACUGCGAGUGUAGAGGUGAAAUUCGUAGAUAUUCGCAAGAACACCAGUGGCGAAGGCGGCUCACUGGCCCGGUACUGACGCUGAGGUGCGAAAGCGUGGGGAGCAAACAGG
rnacentral:rRNA from 1 species